CGGGAUCCUCGGGCUUUGCCUGGUGGUGAGAGUGGCGAACGGGUGAGUAAUGCGUGACCGACCUGCCCCAUGCACCGGAAUAGCUCCUGGAAACGGGUGGUAAUGCCGGAUGCUCCAUCACACCGCAUGGUGUGUUGGGAAAGCCUUUGCGGCAUGGGAUGGGGUCGCGUCCUAUCAGCUUGAUGGCGGGGUAACGGCCCACCAUGGCUUCGACGGGUAGCCGGCCUGAGAGGGCGACCGGCCACAUUGGGACUGAGAUACGGCCCAGACUCCUACGGGAGGCAGCAGUGGGGAAUAUUGCACAAUGGGCGCAAGCCUGAUGCAGCGACGCCGCGUGAGGGAUGGAGGCCUUCGGGUUGUAAACCUCUUUUGUUAGGGAGCAAGGCACUUUGUGUUGAGUGUACCUUUCGAAUAAGCACCGGCUAACUACGUGCCAGCAGCCGCGGUAAUACGUAGGGUGCAAGCGUUAUCCGGAAUUAUUGGGCGUAAAGGGCUCGUAGGCGGUUCGUCGCGUCCGGUGUGAAAGUCCAUCGCUUAACGGUGGAUCCGCGCCGGGUACGGGCGGGCUUGAGUGCGGUAGGGGAGACUGGAAUUCCCGGUGUAACGGUGGAAUGUGUAGAUAUCGGGAAGAACACCAAUGGCGAAGGCAGGUCUCUGGGCCGUUACUGACGCUGAGGAGCGAAAGCGUGGGGAGCGAACAGGAUUAGAUACCCUGGUAGUCCACGCCGUAAACGGUGGAUGCUGGAUGUGGGGCCCGUUCCACGGGUUCCGUGUCGGAGCUAACGCGUUAAGCAUCCCGCCUGGGGAGUACGGCCGCAAGGCUAAAACUCAAAGAAAUGACGGGGGCCCGCACAAGCGGCGGAGCAUGCGGAUUAAUU
rnacentral:rRNA from 1 species